CGUACAUGCACGUCGCUAUAUAAGUGCAAUAAUCUUGGACACGACGUUAAACCCCAUUUCACCUCACCUAGUCAGUGACGUUUAUAAAGGAUUAUAAAGCAGAAAGGUUGUUCGUACUUUAAAAUGAGCAGCUCAUCACACGAAUAUUUCUUGUACAAUAUUAAUUUACCCUUGGCUACGGAAUCUAUUUCAAUUAGUAUUCUUGACACUAGACGUUAAAGACGGAGCAUAUUCCUGAUCAUGAUCGAUGCCAUUGGCAUUAUGAGGGGUAGCGUCGUUUGCCCGUCUGUGAAUGACGUCAUGAUGUGCUAUAAGAGCCAUACUACCCCAGUGGACCUACUGCUGGAUACAUUGUAUGUCUGAACUGGAGGACGGUCCUCGCCUGAUGCCACCGCCCCUGAUUACACCACAUGACACGUGAUCUCAUGUCUACCACAAAGAUGGAUGUAUCUUCAGCACAACAAAUUCAUAGGGUCCCAUUACCUCAGCUGUAACCUACACCCGACUUCCACACGUGACUCCCACACGUGACUCCCACACCUGCUUCUGUCUCAGAGCUCUUAAUACCUGCUAAGAUUUAUGGCUUGUCCUCCAAGUCUCAAGGUCAAGGUCCCACCUCCUUAUGCGACCUCUCAACGACCAGAUUGGACUUAUCGAAAGGGACUUCCUUCCUCCGCGAUGUAUCGGAACUCAAGGACUGAGAGUGUAGUAGUCUGGAUUCCCGCCCUUACUCCCCGUAAUCUCAAGGACGUGAAGCAACCCAUGCUUGCCUUAAAAGGCGGCUAUGCUUGUCAUAAGAGGCGACUAUCGGGUGGUCAGGAUCGCCGACUUGGUUGAUGCAAGUCAUCGCAUCCCAAUUGCGUGGAUCUAUGCUCAUUAUGGGAAUCACUUCCAUGGGUAUAUAUCAGUCUAUAAGUUACUUCACAUAAGUUCAGAGAAGCAAUGUUUGAAACAACUCGUCUACUUACACAAGAGACCCGUGAAGAAUCGGGGUAGAAUAGGUCUUCACCAGCCCAUGCUUGCCGUAAAAGGCGACUAUGCCUGUCGUAAGAGA